rnacentral:lncRNA from 1 species
CACUGUUGACUAUUUUUCAAUUAAAAUGAAAGAAUAUCUGUUUCUUACAGGUUCGUUUCAAGCAUUUUGAGUGUGGUGUCAUGAGAGAUGCUGUUGUCCAUGACAGGUUGGGAUUAUCAUGAUCAAGUACUCUAUUUUGACUACCCAGUUACUAAAAACUUUGCAUGGUAGAAAGUAAGGAUUGGACUUUUAAAAGCAGUAAACAGGGAACAGCGAGAAUAACAAGCUGAGACACUGAUGAACUCAGAGAAAUAUGAAUAACACAUUAACGCUCAGGCUGUAUCAAUAGCACGCUGACUGACACGGGGGACACACUUUUCGAGGAUGCGAGGGAUUGCAAGAAUGAGUCUCCAAAAUCAGGCCUGGAGACAGGAGAUUUUCACCACUACUUCUGAUGGCUCUAGGGAAGACCGAUUCUGCUGCAGGGGAUGCUUAGUCAAUUUUAUUGAUCAUACUUCAGACUAGCAAGUGCAGUACAUCCUAU